CAGAGGUCCCGAGCGUUGUUCGGAUUCACUGGGCGUAAAGGGUGCGUAGGUGGUCGGGUAAGUCUGAUGUGAAAUCUCCGAGCUCAACUCGGAAAUGGCAUUGGAUACUAUUCGGCUAGAGGGUUGGAGGGGGGACUGGAAUUCCCGGUGUAGCAGUGAAAUGCGUAGAUAUCGAGAGGAACACCAGUGGCGAAGGCGAGUCCCUGGACAACUCCUGACACUGAGGCACGAAAGCUAGGGGAGCAAACAGGAUUAGAUACCCUGGUAGUCCUAGCCGUAAACGGUGCACGUUUGCUGUAAGAGGAAUCGACCCCUUUUGUGGCGAAGCUAACGCGUUAAACGUGCCGCCUGGGAAGUACGGUCGCAAGAUUA
rnacentral:rRNA from 1 species